UAGGGAAUCUUCCGCAAUGGACGCAAGUCUGACGGAGCAACGCCGCGUGAGUGAAGAAGGUUUUCGGAUCGUAAAACUCUGUUGUUAGAGAAGAACAAGUGCUAGAGUAACUGUUAGCACCUUGACGGUAUCUAACCAGAAAGCCACGGCUAACUACGUGCCAGCAGCCGCGGUAAUACGUAGGUGGCAAGCGUUGUCCGGAUUUAUUGGGCGUAAAGCGAGCGCAGGCGGUUCCUUAAGUCUGAUGUGAAAGCCCCCGGCUCAACCGGGGAGGGUCAUUGGAAACUGGGGAACUUGAGUGCAGAAGAGGAGAGUGGAAUUCCAUGUGUAGCGGUGAAAUGCGUAGAUAUAUGGAGGAACACCAGUGGCGAAGGCGACUCUCUGGUCUGUAACUGACGCUGAGGCUCGAAAGCGUGGGUAGCAAACAGGAUUAGAUACCCUGGUAGUCCACGCCGUAAACGAUGAGUGCUAAGUGUUGGAGGGUUUCCGCCCUUCAGUGCUGCAGUUAACGCAUUAAGCACUCCGCCUGGGGAGUACGACCGCAAGGUUG
rnacentral:rRNA from 1 species